ensembl:snRNA U6 U6 spliceosomal RNA
CUGCUCACUUUGGCAGCACAUAUACUAAAAUUGGAAUGAUAUAGAGAAGAUCAUCAUGGCCCCUGCUCAAGGAUGACAUGCAAAUUCGUGAAGCAUUCCAUAUUUUU